UACGUAGGUGACAAGCGUUGUCCGGCUUUACUGGGCGUAAAGAGCGCGCAGGCGGUCGUUCAAGUCGAGUGUGAAAGCCCCCGGCUCAACUGGGGAGGGUCACUCGAUACUGAUCGACUCGAAGGCAGGAGAGGGAAGUGGAAUUCCCGGUGUAGUGGUGAAAUGCGUAGAUAUCGGGAGGAACACCAGUGGCGAAGGCGACUUCCUGGCCUGUUCUUGACGCUGAGGCGCGAAAGCUAGGGGAGCAAACGGG
rnacentral:rRNA from 1 species